rnacentral:rRNA from 1 species
UACGGGGGGGCAAGCGUUGUUCGGAAUUACGUGGCGUAAAGGGCGCGUAGGCGGCCUUCUAAGUCGGACGUGAAAUCCCUCGGCUUAAACCGGAGGAACUGCGUCCGAUACGUGAAAGGGCUUGAAUCCGGGAGAGGGAUGUGGAAGUUCCAGGUGAUAGCGGUGAAAUGACGUAGAGUAUCUGGAGGAACACCGGUGGCGAAGGCGGCAUCCGUGGACCGGCUACGUGACGCUGAGGAGCGAAAGCCAGGGGAGCAAAGCGGG